rnacentral:rRNA from 1 species
UACGUAGGGUGCGAGCGUUGUCCGGAAUUAUUGGGCGUAAAGAGCUCGUAGGCGGUCUGUCGCGUCGGUCGUGAAAACUUGGGGCUUAACCCUGAGCUUGCGGUCGAUACUGGAUGGCUAGAGUUCGGCAGAGGGAAGUGGAAUUUCAGGUGUAGCGGUGAAAUGCGUAGAUAUCUGAAGGAACAUCAGUGGCGAAAAGCGACUUCCUGGACCAGAACUGACGAUCAGGCACGAAAGCGUGGGGAGCAAACAGG